rnacentral:misc_RNA from 1 species
GCAUAACAACUCCAUUCUUCCUAAUAACCACACAUUUCCUUCCCUUCUCAAGUCCUUGUCUGACUUUAAAGAUUUCAAGCAAAGCCAAUGCGUGCAUACCCAUGUUAUAAAGUUUGUUUAUCUGAUAUUUUAUGUCCAGAACUCCCUGCUAUAUGUCUAUACGUCAUGUGGCCAUAUGCGGCAGUGUCGGCAACUGUUUGAUGAAAUACCUGAUAAAGAGUUGUCUCUGGACUGUUUUGAUUAAG